rnacentral:rRNA from 1 species
AGAGUGUGAUGCCUGGCUCAGAACGAACGCUGGCGGCAGGCUUAACACAUGGCAAGUGCGAACGCUCCGCAAGGAGAGUGGCAGACGGGUGAGUAACGCGUGGGAACAUACCCCUCGGUUCGGAAUAACUCAGGGAAACUUGAGCUAAUACCGAAUACGGUCGAGAGGCGAAAGAUUUAUCGCCGAGGGAUUGGCGCCCGCGUCCGAUUAGCUAGUUGGUGAGGUAAUGGCUCACCAAGGCGACGAUCGGUAACUGGUCUGAAAAGAUUAUCAGCCCCAUUGGGAAUGAGACACGGCCCCAACUCCUACGGGAGGCAGCAGUAAGGAAUAUUGGUCAAUGGGCGGAAGCCUGAACCAGCCAUGCCGCGUGCAGGAAGACGGCCCUACGGGUUGUAAACUGCUUUUAUACCGGAAUAAACCUUUCUACGUGUAGGAAG